rnacentral:tRNA from 1 species
GGGAGAACACCAGGUCGCACUACGCAGAACCGGGGGCGCACUCGUAAUGCGUGGGUCGCCGGUUCGAUUCCGGCCUCGGGCUCU